ensembl:misc_RNA Metazoa_SRP Metazoan signal recognition particle RNA
GCCGGGUGUGGUGGUGGGCGCCUGUAAUCCCAGCUACUUGGGAGGCUGAGGCAGGAGAAUUGCUUGAGCCCGGGAGGCGGAGGUUGCAAUGAGCUGAGAUUGCGCCACUGCACUCCAGCCUGGGUGACAAAGCGAGACUCUGUCUCAA